rnacentral:rRNA from 1 species
UAGUCAUACGCUUGUCUCAAAGAUUAAGCCAUGCAUGUCUAAGUAUAAACCGUCCCACGGUGAAACUGCGAAUGGCUCAUUAAAUCGGUUAUAGUCUAUUCGAUAGUCCCUUUCUACUCGGAUAACCGUAGUAAAUCUAGAGCUAAUACGUGCGUCAAAGGCCGACUGGGGCGGGAGGGGGUUCGCCCUCUCUCGUUCCGGAAGGUCCGUAUUUAUUAGAUACCCAAACCGACACGGGGCUUCAAGGGGGCGGAGGGGGUUCGCCCUUUCCGUCC